rnacentral:rRNA from 1 species
GGGUCAGUAGGUUGGUCGUGCCACCGGUACGUACUGGUCUCACUGAUUCCUCCUCCCUGAAGAACCGUAAUGCCAUUAAUUUGGUGGUGCGGGGAAACAGGACUGUUACUUUGAAAAAAUUAGAGUGUUUAAAGCAAGCUAACGCUUGAAUACAUUAGCAUGGAAUAAUGAAAUAGGACGAUCGAUCCUAUUUUGUUGGUUUCUAGGAUUGACGUA